CUCAAACUGGUCAUCAGUGAGCAGGUUGUUGCUAAGUAUGUGUAACUUGACAGCACCAAUGGAGACACCUUCUGUCAUUUUACUGAUGAUUGAGAGUAGACUGAUUGGGGAGAUAAUUGGCUGUGUUGAAUAUUCCAG